CUUAAAGCCACUCGCUAUCUGAGUAUGCAGCAUCAUACUCAUCACAGCACCAAACUGGGUGCUGUGGUCAAAUCCAGAUGAGCUGCAACACUUUGUGCAAAGAAGAUACCUUAACCCUCAGGGUUUCAUGAUAACUAACCAACAUUUCAUAGAAAAAUGUGUUUCUCAGCUUUCUUCCUUUUACCAUGAGAAUGGUCAAUAAAGUGUGUGCUAAACCAACUCACAAAUGGCAUUUUAGAUGCUGAUGGGAGGAGAUGGAAAAGAGAGAGAAUUUUCCAAACCUGAAAAUAACCCUUGUUUCCAAAGUCACAGGUAAGCUUAGGCACCAUCUAGUUUGAACACAGCAUGGUACAGUUGAUGUUAUACUGUUUAGUAUGCGCUGAGUGCACAGAGGGA
rnacentral:lncRNA from 1 species